UGGGAUGUGGCUCAGUUGGUAGAGAGUUUGCCUAGCAUUUACAAAGUUCUGGGUCCCAUCCCCAGCAUCNCAU
rnacentral:tRNA from 1 species